rnacentral:rRNA from 1 species
GAUGAACGCUGGCGGCGUGCUUAACACAUGCAAGUCGAGCGAAGCACUUUACUUGGAUUUCUUCGGAAUGACGAGUAUUGUGACUGAGCGGCGGACGGGUGAGUAACGCGUGGGUAACCUGCCUCAUACGGGGGGAUAACAGUUAGAAAUGACUGCUAAUACCGCAUAAGACCACAGUACCGCAUGGUGCAGAGGUAAAAACUCCGGUGGUAUGAGAUGGACCCGCGUCUGAUUAGCUGGUUGGUGGGGUAACGGCCUACCAAGGCGACGAUCAGUAGCCGGCCUGAGAGGGCGACCGGCCACAUUGGGACUGAGACACGGCCCAAACUCCUACGGGAGGCAGCAGUGGGGAAUAUUGCACAAUGGGGGAAACCCUGAUGCAGCGACGCCGCGUGAAGGAAGAAGUAUUUCGGUAUGUAAACUUCUAUCAGCAGGGAAGAAAAUGACGGUACCUGACUAAGAAGCCCCGGCUAACUACGUGCCAGCCGCCGCAGUAA